rnacentral:miRNA from 1 species
CCUCCUGAUCGUCAGCAUCGCUC